rnacentral:rRNA from 1 species
UACGAAGGGGGCUAGCGUUGCUCGGAAUCACUGGGCGUAAAGGGUGCGUAGGCGGGGCUUUAAGUCAGGGGUGAAAUCCUGGAGCUCAACUCCAGAACUGCCUUUGAUACUGAGGAUCUUGAGUUCGGGAGAGGUGAGUGGAACUGCGAGUGUAGAGGUGAAAUUCGUAGAUAUUCGCAAGAACACCGGUGGCGAAGGCGGCCAACUGGACCAUUACUGACGCUGAGGCGCGAAAGCGUAGGGAGCAAACAGG